CAUAUUUUAUGAUGAGAUAUACAUGCACCACUCUGAUCUCUCAAGUUCAACCGUGAGGAUAUUU
rnacentral:snoRNA from 1 species